CGGACGGGUGAGUAACACGUGGAUAACCUACCUAUAAGACUGGGAUAACUUCGGGAAACCGGAGCUAAUACCGGACAAUAUAUUGAACCGCAUGGUUCAAUAGUGAAAGACGGUUUUGCUGUCACUUAUAGAUGGAUCCGCGCCGCAUUAGCUAGUUGGUAAGGUAACGGCUUACCAAGGCAACGAUGCGUAGCCGACCUGAGAGGGUGAUCGGCCACACUGGAACUGAGACACGGUCCAG
rnacentral:rRNA from 1 species